GAUGAGCGCGUGGCGGCGUGCCUAAUACAUGCAAGUCGAGCGGUAACAGGUCUAGUUUACUAGAUGCUGACGAGCGGCGGACGGCUGAGUAACACGUAGGAACGUACCCCAAAGUGAGGGAUAACUGCUCGAAAGAGUAGCUAAUACCGCAUGUGAUCUAAGGAUUAAAGCUUUAUGCGCUUUGGGAACGGCCUGCGUUUCGAUUAGCUAGUUGGUAGAGGUAAUAGCUCACCAAGGCGAUGAUCGAUAGCUGGUCUGAGAGGAUGAUCAGCCAG
rnacentral:rRNA from 1 species